UUAAAAAACUGGAUUCAAGGGGAGUGAAGAUAAUUUUCUCCUUUUAACAGUUUCCUCCUCAAUAAUGAAUGUUCCUGGAUCAGUUGUCAUCAGGCACGAAAUUGCUGGAGUUGCACAAGAGCAGAAAAGUCGAAGUGGAACUGGCGUUGUCGGUGACAAAUUUUCUUCUGAACCUGACUCAGAACAUUCUGCAAGCAUAUCUACAGAGUCCGCCUUCAAGCCGCCAGAAUCUUACCAUAUUCCAACAUCCGGCUCAUUUCCACACACUUCCGGACCUGCUGUUUGCGUUGUGCAAAUGCCACAGUCUUACACCAAUUUACCGCUCGGACAAGGACAAGGACAACUUCCCGAUUACUUCCCCGAACGCAGUGGCCAUGUCACUGUCAGUGACCAGGAACGAUUUGUGAGAUCUGUUGACCUCGUUGACAUUGGUGGUGUCCAAUCAGUUCAGAUGCCCUUCACGGUUCCAUCAGUGUCCGUACCUAUCAUGAUGCAAUCGCAGUCGGUUCCCGUCUCUUCUCCCAGUCCCAUGGCGACAAUUAAUCAAACAUCAUUUCAACAACAAACCGUACCGAUACAGGGUAAGAUUUGUGCAGUAAUGGCUCCCUCUGAAGACCUUCAUAUCUGUGGUAGAUGCAAGCUCCAGUUCAACAAUGUGGAUCACUUUAUUCGUCACAAACAGCAGGGUUGCCAGAUCUCGAGACCAGUGAGCCAACAGGAGGUUGUGAUGAGGCCACAAGUACAGCAGCAGCCUUUAAUUUCUCAACAGGAACAAGUAACAGAGUCUCUCUCAGGACCCACUUCAGAUGAAACCACUUCCAAUAUUACUGUUGUAUCUGAAAUUAGCGAGUCCCAGGUUGGAGCACCCCAGGUUGGAGGUGACUCCAUGCCUUCAGAACCAAGGCUAGACGUACCUGUCCAUCAGACUCCAGAGGUCAUCCAGCCUGAGCCAAUGGAACAAGAAAUAGAAAGGUUGUUGGAAGAAAGCCACACAGCAAAAAACUUACCGAAACCAAAACAACCAAGUUCCCGACUGGCCCCAGUAAAGAAAUAUUCGUGUGAAUUUGCCGACUGUACGUAUAUGACUGCCUAUCAGAAGGAUCUGGAGAGGCACUGGCGAGUUCAUACAGGGGACAGACCAUAUCACUGUGAACACUGUGAGAGGAGUUUCACACGCCUUGAUCAUCUGAAACUGCACAAAUACUCACAUACAGGGGGUAAACCGUACCAGUGUCCACAAUGCAACUAUUCCACCGCUGAGAAAAGUGCUCUAAAGAAACACAUUCGAAUACACACAGGAGAAAAACCAUACAAGUGUCAGAUGUGUCCCUAUGCCAGCAGGAACUCCAGCCAGCUGAUCGUCCACUUAAGGUCUCACACGGGUGAUGCGCCGUUCCAGUGUCACAUCUGCCCAUCCAAAUUCAAGAUAAAUUCCGAUCUAAAGCGUCAUAUGAGGACCCACACAGGAGAGAAACCAUUCAGUUGCGACAUGUGUGACUACAAAUGUGCCGUCAAAGGCAAUCUCCAGAUCCACGUGAAGAUCAACCACUCCGGAGACAAUCAGUAUAAAUGUGAAGAGCAGGGCUGUGACUUUGCCAUCUCCUCUCAGAAGCUGCUACGGGAACACCAAAAGAUACAUCUGGGCGAUCAACACAGCUUUCAGUGCGGCGAAUGCCAGUAUCUCUGUAGCACAAAAUCAUCGCUCAGAAACCACAUGGUCACUCACAGUGAGGAGCGGCCGUUCAAAUGUGGCUACUGUACGCAUUCGUCUAAACAGCGCGGGAAUAUGAAAAAUCAUCUCAUGCGUAAACAUCCAGAACAGCUGCCGUUGCGGAAGAGGAAGAAGGAGAAAGCUGACACGCUUAAGAAAUCACCGCAUAAAACUCGCCCGUUGUGUAAGACGUCUUUUGAUUGUUCUGUUUGCGGGGAUGGGUUCGUCCGGGAGGAUUCUUAUAAAAGCCACAUGAAGCAACACAAGGAGUUGGCGAUCGUGAUGGAGGAUACGGCGCUGGCCGUGUUACAGUUGCAGACACCCGUUACGAAUAUUGUGCGAGCUUGUGCUGCCUCUGGUGGUGAAACCCAGGAGGCGACAGUGAGCAGUUCAAGUGAGGCGGAAGCGAGGGGUGAGGGAGUGCGAGAUCUGCGGCAGUUUGUUCAUGAGGGGUCGGAUGGACCCCUUAAGGUUUUUGAAGUAUCUGGAGGAAAGGCUAGCGUCGGUGCUGUCACCGAGCAGGCACCUGGAACUGUGCUUGUUGACAAUAGGAACGCUCAGUUGGUGACGUCAAAUCAGCCUGGAUAUGUUUCAAUGGAGUCUAGCUUCAUUCAAGGUAACGCGCCAGCUGUUAUCUUAGAGAGCAGCAGUGGGAAACAAAUAGUGGUGCAAGUCAGUGGGGCCCCGCCCGGGCCUCAGAGUCAAAUGGUGCCAGGUGGUCAUAUGGUGACUGUACCAGCUGGUGGAAAUCUUAACUAUGUACCCAAAGGCACACCACAAACUUUAAGCGAGAAUCACCUGACUACGGUGCAGAAUGUCCUUGCCUCAGGAAGUGUGGCAGAGCCUUCUUUCUACACAACGGCAGCAUUCCCCUCCACCGGAAUCGAACGGGUUCAACAAGUUGGGCAGAUCCAAUCUGUUUAUUCUAACACAACGACAACAGCAGUGGCAAGUUUCUCAAGCGUUCCACAACAAAUGUCGACUGCUGCUGUUUCUAGCGGGCAAGGCCACCUGCAGUCUACAGUUCAGCCUCUGCCGGUCUCAAACUCUCCACAGAUUCGACAGUUCACUUCAGCUAGCUCUUCCAUUUCUAAUGUUCCACCCCAGGGCCGAAGAGUUAGGAGGCGGACUAUGUCAACGAACUCUGCCAUCAAAAUCACACAUACUCCUCUGAAGAAGACGAAGAAGCAGACAGUGCGUAGUAUUUUAAGUCCGAGUUCUCAAACGAGUGCAGCAGCCAUCAGUCAUCAACCCGUCAUGCAGAUACCGGGACCAAGUCCUCAAGUCGUAUAUAGGUCAACGCGGGACAACGCAGGUAUUGUAAGUGAUGGUAAUAGUGUCCAGGUGCAAUCUCAUGGCCUUCCAGGACAUCAGGUCGUCGUACAGGUCCCAGUUGGUGAAAAUACUCGGGCUGUUGACGGUUCAGGGCGCCCUGUUUUCGUUCAGACGCCAAAUAGUGACUGCCACUUUGUCGGGCCUUCUGCGCCUCAAAACCAAACAGUUCAAAUGCAGGGGAGUGAUUCGAGAGUCGGUGUGAAUCAACCUGUCGUGAUGCAGGUUCCUCAAAACCAAACAGUUCAAAUGCAGGGGAGUGAUUCGAGAGUCGGUGUGAAUCAACCUGUCGUGAUGCAGGUUCCAGUGAGUGUCGAUAAUCCAUCCCUACCGAUGCAGAUGUCACCUGGGAUGGUGCCGCCCGGGCAGUCGCAGAUGAUGCUGGCAAUGUCGCCUGGAACCGAGAGUGGGAUUUGCUACAGAUUGGUCCCACAGGUGGCAGCACCUGAUGGCAGCAUCACCUAUAGCCUUCUUCCUCAACCGUAUAUGCCGAGAGAAAACCAAGCCUUGUCUCCAGUCACAAGUCAACCUGCAUCCCAGGUCCAGGUGGUACCUCCGCUUGUCCAACCCUAUGCCGAAAAUUCCGAGGUCAAGAACCAUUUAGAAGAACGACAGGCACAGAACAAUCGCGAGAUCCAGACAGACACGAGACCCCAUGACCAGACAGAAUAGAGAGAACUAGUUUCAUUGAAACUCUGAUUGUUGGAAUAUAGGACCAUAUUUCAAGGGAAUAGAAAUGGACGCCUCGUGGUCAUGGCCGUUCGAAGAUGAGCUCGAUGAGAGUGAGUUGUGAAUGUUGUCUUGGUUUCUACUAGAGAAAUAGAAACUUCCAUGAAAUUUUGUAGUCUAUUUAAAUCCCAACCCUUGAGGGUUAAUGUAUAUGUUGAUUGAUCAAACAAAGUCAUGCUUAUCCAUUAUUGUUCAAACUCUUGUUUUAUGCUUGAUUACCUGACAUCACAGAAAGCGCAAACCAUGGGUCAAAGACCGACAGAUAACUCAUUAACUUUUGAUAAUUCAAUUACGCCACUUAAGUGGUAAUGAAACUAUGUUAGAAAUUUUGUAAUAAUUGUUAAAUGGACGUAAAGGUUUUGUCAUCGUUUCGAUGGAAUUGCUUUAAUUUUUGAUUCACUUAACAAACUUGAGUGAACAUGUGUCUUUGGGUCAAAGUCGUUCCGAUAACUGUUCAAGUUUCAGUAAAGUGAUUUUGUCCUUUAGAUUUAUUAGCGGUUCUGUUUGAGGUGUUGCGUUCCAAGUCCGCCUUGGAAUUUCUCGAAACUAUUUUGAUAGUUUAAAUAAGUUUCAAGUCUGAACAAACAUGUACAUUAUAUGUAGCUAAUCAAAGCUUUUCAACGGCCUUGGUCAUAUUAUGGUGAGAAACUUGUGUAUAAAUUGUAUAUUGUGUACACAUAUUUUGUGAGUAGCUUUUACAUAAUGUUUUGUAAAGUGAACUAUUUU